GCCUGGGUGGCUCAGUCGGUUAAGCGUCUGACUUCGGCUCAGGCCAUGAUCUCGCGGUUCGUGAGUUCGAGCCCCACGUUGGGCU
rnacentral:tRNA from 1 species